rnacentral:rRNA from 1 species
UACGUAGGGUGCGAGCGUUGUCCGGAAUUAUUGGGCGUAAAGAGCUUGUAGGCGGUCUGUCGCGUCUGCUGUGAAAAUCCGGGGCUCAACCCCGGACUUGCAGUGGGUACGGGCAGACUAGAGUGUGGUAGGGGAGACUGGAAUUCCUGGUGUAGCGGUGAAAUGCGCAGAUAUCAGGAGGAACACCGAUGGCGAAGGCAGGUCUCUGGGCCACUACUGACGCUGAGACGCGAAAGCAUGGGGAGCGAACAGG